GUCGACAGAGUUGUUUCCCUUUGAUCAUACAUCAUCCGAUUUGAUUGACCUGAUUCCUACUGACUGGGCACCGUCUUUAUAUCUUAUGACAGACAAGGUUCCCGUGCUGCACAGUGUCUGACGGCAACUCGGUAAGUGAAGGUUCAACUGACCAGUGUCGGUGAAGUGUCGGCUAGGACCAGAUUUGUUUAAGUAACCAGUGAGAGUGAAGUGUCCAGAGAAAUGGCUAACUGCGGCUGGCUUUGGUCUGUAAUAUGGGUGAUUAUACUACUAGUUUUUGGCUGGCCCAUCGGAUUGAUCUGUGCCCUCUUCUACUGUAUGCUAAGUCCAUUUGCUGCCUGUUGCCACGGCUGUAGCGAACUCAUCAACCUGUUGGAUAGAGGUGUCAAACUUCCUUUGACUUGUGCUCAAAAUAUGGUCGCAGGAAAGUCCAUGUGUUGAUGUUCAUGCUAGCCAAGCUGUAUGUAGACAGUCAGAUGGGGAGCCCCAAGUGCAAUAUAAUAGGACUUCAGUCUUGUGGAAAAGUAAAAUGUGUGAAACAGGAAUUAUAUCUCAGGAUCCUUUGUGGAAAUUUAUUCCACUUAGACUAUGGGAACAAGAUGACUGCAUACCACUUUUUUUGUUUUCGUCCCAAGAUCUCAAUAAAUCCUGAUAUUAAUAGCUACUAAAGUGUAUCAGCUUAUGGAAGGAGAUUAGAUAUUCAGUAAUCAGCAAGACUUACUAGUAACUUAAUGAAAUUUAAGUGAUUUUGCCAAAGAAAAUUUGAAGAACAUUCAAUUUGGUGAAGGAUUAUUAGCACGACUCCUAUCCGACAAUUUUUUCUUUUCCUUUUAACAAAAUGUUUAUGCAGAGGGUGCAUGCUGCCUCACUAUUUAUCUGCUUUACAAUAUAUUCCCCCCACAUAGCAAACUAUUGGAUCUAAAUCACUUGCGUUAAUUUUCACUUGCGUUAAUUAAGGAUCUUACUUUUAUUUUACCUCACUGCGUCCAAAGACCUUUUAAGUUUAUGCAAGGCACAGCAUCUUUUUGUCAGAAACUUUCUUUUAAAAAAGACUACUAGUCAUGAGCAGCUAAGUCAAUUUCAAUAAAACAUUUUUAUAUAAAUGUGGACUAGUACACUAAGAACCUGCCAUGGCCCUGAUAAGGUAUUAACCUGGUGAGCCAGGGUCUCUUUAAAAACAAGUUUCAUUUUUUUCCAAAAUAUUAUACAACUAAAAGCUUUUACAUUUGUUAUACAAUUUAUCAUUAUUUUUAUAUAUCAAGCUGAAUAUAUUGUUGUGAUUUACAGAUAUUACAUUUUACUUUCUCUAUUUUGUGCAAGAUCUGCAAAGAGGUCAGAGCCUGUGGUUGCUCAUAUUCUGUUGUUUUUUUGUUUUGUUUUUUCACAUAAACUACAAGUUAAGGUUUGUAUUAGGAGUUAAAAAUGAUUUGAAUGUCAUUUAAGUUCAAAGCGCUCCCUGAUAAAAAUGCGGCAGAAUCAUUUUGUAAACUAUUUGUUAAACAACUAAUCAAACCAAACUGGUACCCUAUGGUUGCCUCUGGUGUAGUCCGAGUUUCCUCUGGCCCUGGCACCAGAUAUCUAUCUGCCAAAAUGUCUGAGUCUGGUGCCAGAGGAAACCCGGUCUACCUCUGGUGAUUAUCUGAUGUAUGAGUUGGCCCUGUUUUUAUGUCAUUCCAAUUAAUUUAUCUCAUCCACAUAUUUUAUUUGGUAAUUAUUCAUACAUCACAUGCAAACUAUUUUCUUAAAAGUGUGGCAUGAGUCGAAUCUUGAUCUCACAUUUUAAAAAAAUCCCUAGUAAAUUAUUAAUGUCUUCUGUGCCCAUGUUGAAUGAUGUACAUUGUACUUGUAUUUUGUACUUUGUGUUACCUCAAGCCUUUCUUCCUAGUAAAUCUUGCCAUCCGUUUAUAUCUAAAAUGUAUCCCAGAUUUCCUGUUUAAUAUUACUGGGUUUAUUUUUUAAGGUUGUAGGUAUAAUUUUAUUAUACAAAUGUACCUGUAUUGAUAUUGUACAACAACUAAAGUGCUUAUGUCGAAAAUGUAUAACUAUGGAAUGCCAAUCUUUAGAUGUUUAGAUAUUUUUGUUAUGGUAGUUUGUUUUAUAUUUAUAUAAUAUUCUCUAUAUAUAUAUAUAUAUAUAUACCUCUCUUCUGUGCCUUUACAUGAUGAUCAGCUCCUUGAUCAUAAAAAUCUUACUGAGUGAAUUAAGAAUUUUCAUCAUUAAUAAUAAAAAUCUGUGAAAUAAAUCAAACUUUAGUAAACUAUAUGUAAUACAUGCAUGUACCUGGUAUUUGAAGUAUAUAAAGUACAUACAAAAUGUUCUGAUGCGACAUAAUAGAAAUAAACAACAUCCAAGUAUGCACCUGAAUAGGUGAUUUACUACCUUCAACAUUCUACAAGUGAUUUGUGUUUAGAUUGAUUGAUAUUUUAUUAAUUGAGCAUAAAAAUUGGAUUCUGUUCCGAGUUGUGUACCUGUAACAAUCUGGACAGAAUCUCAGAAAACAUUUUUGGAAAUUAUCAUUAUUUUUGACAGAAGGCAGUAAUACUUACAUGGUUAAUUUUCAUUGACAAGCACAAUAAAUGUAUACUUAAAAUUUGAGACAGAUUUACAAUAUUAAAAUGGAGCAGCCAAAAGCUAGAAUCAUCAGUUUGCUAUCUCCAACAUGAUGAUUUUGACAUCACUUUGUAUUUUUUCUACGAUCAUGGGGCUAGAACUGUCAAAAGCAACCUGCUUUGCAGUAAACUUGAUGAAUACUUGGUCAAAAGAUUUCCUUCUGAAAUUAUUAGAAAAUGUUGUGGUUUAUUCUGUAUUCUAAAACAUACACUAACAUUUGUCCACAACUCUUGUUAUGUACAUAUACCAUAAAGUGCUUUUACUAUAAACAGAAAUUUGCAUCAUAAUCUCAUGCAAACACAAUUUAAAGAAAUUAAGGGCAUUGCUAUUUGCUUUUCGUUCAAGUUGCUAAUUGUAGCAUGUUUAGCAGUAAGAACUUUAUAAUUUUAAUAAAGAUACUAUUGUACAUA